GGAUCCAGACUUUGAUUCUGGCUCAGGACGAACGCUGGCGGCGCGCCUAACACAUGCAAGUCGAACGAGAGAUGAGGAGCUUGCUCUUCAAAUCGAGUGGCGAACGGGUGAGUAACGCGUGAGGAACCUGCCUCAAAGAGGGGGACAACAGUUGGAAACGACUGCUAAUACCGCAUAAGCCCACGGCUCGGCAUCGAGCAGAGGGAAAAGGAGCAAUCCGCUUUGAGAUGGCCUCGCGUCCGAUUAGCUAGUUGGUGAGGUAACGGCCCACCAAGGCGACGAUCGGUAGCCGGACUGAGAGGUUGAACGGCCACAUUGGGACUGAGACACGGCCCAGACUCCUACGGGAGGCAGCAGUGGGGAAUAUUGCGCAAUGGGGGAAACCCUGAUGCAGCGACGCCGCGUGGAGGAAGAAGGUCUUCGGAUUGUAAACUCCUGUUGUUGAGGAAGAUAAUGACGGUACUCAACAAGGAAGUGACGGCUAACUACGUGCCAGCAGCCGCGGUAAAACGUAGGUCACAAGCGUUGUCCGGAAUUACUGGGUGUAAAGGGAACGCAGGCGGGAGAACAAGUUGGAAGUGAAAUCCAUGGGCUCAACCCAUGAACUGCUUUCAAAACUGUUUUUCUUGAGUAGUGCAGAGGUAGGCGGAAUUCCCGGUGUAGCGGUGGAAUGCGUAGAUAUCGGGAGGAACACCAGUGGCGAAGGCGGCCUACUGGGCACCAACUGACGCUGAGGCUCGAAAGUGUGGGUAGCAAACAGGAUUAGAUACCCUGGUAGUCCACACCGUAAACGAUGAUUACUAGGUGUUGGAGGAUUGACCCCUUCAGUGCCGCAGUUAACACAAUAAGUAAUCCACCUGGGGAGUACGACCGCAAGGUUGCAACUCAAAUGAAUUGACGG
rnacentral:rRNA from 1 species